GUGGUUUAUGCAUGCUGUAGACGUCAGAAAUUUGAUCAAAACCAAUCAAGAACUGGGUAAAUCUCCUUUAUAUCUCCUUCUUAAUUUUUUGUAAGUCUUAAGCAUGAGUUUUGUCGAAUUUUCUAUCAAAAUCCCAUAAUAUUUCUAUUUUUUGUUUUUGGUUCUUGUCAUCGGUUGCUGUCACCGAUCGUCGGAUCUGGGC
rnacentral:lncRNA from 1 species